GGGCGUUUUGCUCAGCGGGAGAGCGCCUGCCUUACAAGCAGGAGGUCAUGGGUUCAAAUCCCUUAACGCCCACCA
rnacentral:tRNA from 1 species